GACGAACGCUGGCGGCGUGCUUAACACAUGCAAGUCGAACGGAAAGGCCCUGCUUGCAGGGUACUCGAGUGGCGAACGGGUGAGUAACACGUGGGUGAUCUGCCCUGCACUUCGGGAUAAGCCUGGGAAACUGGGUCUAAUACCGGAUAGGAGCCAUUUUUAGUGUGAUGGUUGGAAAGUUUUUUCGGUGUAGGAUGAGCUCGCGGCCUAUCAGCUUGUUGGUGGGGUAAUGGCCUACCAAGGCGGCGACGGGUAGCCGGCCUGAGAGGGUGGACGGCCACAGUGGGACUGAGAUACGGCCCAGACUCCUACGGGAGGCAGCAGUGGGGAAGAUUGCACAAUGGGCGCAAGCCUGAUGCAGCGACGCCGCGGGGGGGAUGACGGCCUUCGGGUUGUAAACUCCUUUCGCUAGGGACGAAGCUUUUUGUGACGGUACCUAGAUAAGAAGCAGCGGCUAACUACGUG
rnacentral:rRNA from 1 species